UUUAAAAUACAUAAAACUCAUUUGUGCGUUGUUCAAACAUAAAACAAGGAUCUGAACUAAGACUUUCUGACGAUGAUUUAUUAUUCGUUACUAGUUAAAUUGACAGGUUGUAGUCAAACACCACCGAAAGAAUGAACCACAGGCACAGCCACAGCACAGAAUCUUGCAAAAAUAAACAAUAUUUCAUUCUUUCAUAAUAUUUUCCCAACUUUAGUAGAUUACAAUUAUGUUUUAUGGCAUUUAUGGACAAUAACAGAAGAGGACUAAUAACUGAGAAAACAUUGAUUAUUAUUAUUUUUUUAUAUUGUAAAGACAAGAAAACCAUUGUUGCAGAAAUAAUUUCUUUUUUUUUUAAAUAUCUUGACUUAAAUUGUUGUUUUAUGAACAUACAGUGACUACUGGCUUUUGAUCACAUGACUCAUGUAGAACUUGUGUUGGGAUUUCCGUUAGAAGUGUACCUUCAAGAAUGGGGAGUCCCGCUAUAGAUCCAGCAUUUCUUUUGUGUAAUAGAACGGGUUCUUAAAUACUACCCCUAAAGAGGAGUUUUAAGUUUCAAAUUUAAUGAAAAACAAAGUCCUCAAUUUGGAUACCAGUCCUACUACAAAUCACGGAGCGUAUAUUGAUGUCAGCUAGAGUCCGUGUACAAAUGCAUCAGAAACAUUCACACAGAUAAAAAUUGAAAGGAAUCAUGAGCUCUCAGCUCAAAGAUUUGGUUGCAACAGAGGUACGUGACUUCAGUUCCCAGUACGGCAAUGAAGUCAGCAUCUCAUACACUGCUAGCAACUUGGCCGGCCCAUGUCGAAUCUACCCUAAAUAUGGAGACUACACACAGUCCUGUGUCUUUCGGACAUAUGGGGACUGGUGGCACAGGGCCCCCUCGGCAAGGGAAGGCUUCAGGAGAACUCCACCUGAUUUCUGCAGCCAAGAUUAUAUAGAGCUGGCAUUUCCUGAGAAGAUAUAUCCUCUUGAGGUGCGGAUUUAUGAGACCUACAACCCUGGCUGUGUGGUGAGAAUACUGGCCUGUGAUUAUGAUGGCGAAACAGAUGUGGACACAGGACUAUGUAGGUGCCGCUGGAAGACGUUAUGGAGUGGAAGCCCUAGUAGAGUGGCCCCUGUGGCAAGGGUGUUCAGCCCACCCCUGGCACCCUGCCCCUUCCCUACUGAUUUGCUACGUAUUGAGGUGUGUCACGACAUGUGUGACUACUACACAAACCUGGACGCUGUCUAUGUCAGGGGAACCUCAAUGUGUGACUACUACACCAACCUUGACACUGUCAUCGUCAAGAGAACCUCAGAUCCACCACUUGAUGUAACCACGGCAACUAACAACUGUCAAUCAUUACCUCCCGCCGACAGUGAACCAACGCAGUCAGACAGUGGCUUGUUUUCCCUCCUGCCUGACGAAGUGAUUCAGCUGAUACUGAGCCUACUUGACCUGCUGUCCCUCUGUUGUGUCGCCCAGACCUGUAGGCUGCUCUAUCAACACAGCUAUGACAGCCUGCAGUACACAGAGCUCAAUCUACAACCCUUCUGGACUCAGAUAGAUGACUGCGCUCUCAAGAGUCUGCUGGGCCGCUCUCACUUUCUGCAAAGAUUCAACCUGUCCUGGUGCCAUGGCAACCUGCUCACAGAGACCGCCUUUACCAUGUUCAUGGAGGGUUGUGGUACCAGUCUGCGUUGCUUGUACUUGGCAUCAUGUAACUUUGUGUCACAUGACAGUCUUUCUUCUAUAUCUGAGUACUGCCCAAAUCUUGCAGAGUUGGACUUGUCCAGCUGUACCCAUAUUGAUCAAGAGCGGUUUGAUGCUUUGGCUCGUCUUACCAAACUGGAGUACCUGAAUCUGUACCGCACACACAUUGAGCAAGAGGCCAUCACCAGUAUUAUACGUUCCUGUCUGAAGUUACAACAUCUAAAUCUCGGCUCUGCCAACUGUAUUCAGAGUUAUGAUGAUGUCUUAUAUGAGCUGGGAACACAUUCCAAACAGUUGGUCUCGCUGGAUCUAUGGCGGAGUCGCACAGUGACAGACGAGGGUCUGAAGCACCUGUCUCUAGGCUGUCCUGACCUGCAGGAGAUAGACCUGGGCUGGUGUCCUGGGAUCAAGUCUCAAAGUGGCUCCAUCCAGACCCUGGUUGUGCGGUGCUAUAAACUGAGAAAGCUGUUCCUCACCGCAAACAGAACCGUCUGUGAUGAAGACCUUAUUGCCAUAGCAACGCAUUCUAGGGAUCUGGAGCAGCUGGAUAUACUUGGAACACUUCAAGUCUCAGGGACGGUAGCAACCAGGUUAUUGCAGUCCUGUUCAAAGUUGGUGUUCUUCGACGUGUCGUUCUGUUCAGGCAUCAGUGACGUCAUGUUGUACAGUUGGGCCCAGAUGUUUCCCCAGGUCAGUGUCAAGAAGAGCUUCCAACAGUGAUAGCCCAGUCCUACAGCACACUUGGCGACCUAGACCUAUUUGUUCUAAAAGCAACAUGCUGUCUUCAAUACAGAACUAUGUACUACCUCUGUUAUGGUGAACACCAUUUUUAACCAGGUUUUUAACCAGGUUUUCCGAAGGAAAAAACUGGUUAUUAGAUUGGCGAAUGCGGGCGGGCUGGCUGGCUGGCGGGCUGGUGGGCGGGCGGAACAAGCUUGUCGGGGCCAUAACUAUGUCGUUCAUUGUCAGAUUUUAAAAUCUUUUGGCACAUUUGUUCACCAUCAUUGGACGGUGUGUUGCGCGAAAUAAUUACGUCGAUAUCUCCAAGGUCACACUUUGAGUUCAAAGGUAAAAAAUGGCCAUAAAUGAGCUUGUCCUGGCCAUAACUAUGUCAUUCAUUGUGAGAUUUUAAAAUCAUUUGGCACAUUUGUUCACCAUCAUGGGACGGUGUGUCGCACGAAAGAAUCACGUCAAUAUCUCCAAUGUCAAGGUCGCCACGACUAAAAAUAGAUUUAAAAAAAAAAAAACUUACAAAGGGGGUUAAUUUUGUUUGUUCAUUUCAAAAGUUCAGUUUGAAUUUUCUCCCUUUAUCAGAUUUUUCACAAUGAAAACCUGGUUUUGUGACAAUUUUGUCCCUUGUUAUCACAUGCAUCACCAAGUUUUGUAUCAAAUAUAUAUUCUUUACGAAUAUUUAUAUUUUAAACAUGCGUAAUAAAGCUUUUUGAGCGUUUUCAUAGGCUAUUUUUUGUUUUAUGUGACCAAUCAAAUGACGUUUUAAUGCCCCUCUUCAAAAAAGAGGGGGUAUAUAUUGUUUUUGCUGGAUGUCGGUCGGUCUGUCUGUCGGUAGACCAGUUCAUUUCCGAUCAAUAACUCGUCAACGAAUUGACCGAUUGUCUUGAUACUUCACAUGUGCAUUGGCCUUGGACAGUAGAUGACCCCUACAGAAAUUGGGUUCACUAGGUCAAAGGUCAAGGUCACAAUAAGUGUGAAAAGCGUUUCCGAUCAAUUACUCAUCAACUAAUAGACCGAUUGGCUUGAUACUUCACUCGUGAAUUGGUCUUGGACAGUAGCUGACCUCUACAGAAAUUGGGGUUACUAGGUCAAAGGUCAAGGUCACUGUAACAAUAAGUGUGAAAAUUGUUUCUGAUCAAUAAGUCAUGAACGAAUUGACCGAUUGGCUUGAUACUUCACAUGUGCAUUGGCCUUGGACAGUAGAUGACCCCUAUUGAAAUUGGGUUCACUAGGUCCAAGGUCAAGGUCACUGUCACAAUAAGUGUGAAAAUCGUUUCCAAUCAAUAAUUCGUCAACCAAUUGACCGAUUGGCUUGAUACUUCCCAUGUGUAUUGGUCUUGGACAGUAGAUGAACCCUAUUGAAAUUGGGCUCACUAGGUCAAAGGUCAUAGACACAGUCACAAUAAGUGGUAAAAUCGUUUCUGAUAAAUUACUCGUCAAUGAAUCGACCGAUUGGCUUGAUACUUCCCAUGUAUAUUGGCCUUGGACAGUAGAUGACCCCUAUUAAAAUUCGGGUCGCUAGGUCAAGGUCACUGUCACAAUAAGUGUGAAAAUUUUUGGCGAUCAACAACUUGUCAACAAAUUGAACGAUUGGCUUGAUACUUCUUAUGUGAAUUGUCCUUAGACACUAGAUGACCCCUAUUGAAAUUGUGGUCACUAGUUCAAAGCCCUGUUUGGGGGGCAUACGUCUCCAACCGCAGAACUCUUGUUUUUGCUAAAUUGAUGUUGAAACGUCAAGUGAUGACGUGCAAUGUAAUCAACUAUCCGAUUUUGUCAUUUCGUUCAUGUACAUAUGAAAUUUGUGUAACUAAUUAAGAAGCAUGUUAUAAAAACAUUUGGUACUUGUCAUUUGCAUUAUGAAUUAUUGAACCAAAAAAUGUUAGCCUGCCAAAGGCUCGCUAACCAGAAAUAAAUCAUGAACUCAUUAAAUAAACUAUGGUAUGAAAUUACAACUCAUGGUAGAUCCUCUAUUUAUGAUGUACAACAGUAACCCAGGCAUUAUAUUAUUUGAAAACUGUAACUUUUAUUAAAUAUCUUAAAGAUUAUUGUUAUAUAAAAUUACAUUGAUGCAUCGACUGAAAAAAAAACGUUUAUUAAUCAAGACAAAUAAGUAUAAAAGGGUUUGUAUAUUAACCAUUAUAUGUUGUGGUGACUACUCAGCUGUCUUGAAUCUGUGACAAAACGUUUGAGAUAUUUAUGCACUCAUAGGCAGGUCCUAUUGAUAUAUUGAAAGAAUCUGAUAUCAAACUCAGCUGGCAUGAACUUUUACCAUGUGUACAACAGAUAUAGUCGCAUGGACACUUCUUCUGGGAGUUGGUUGAUUGUAUAUAUGUAACAUCUCAGGGCAACACGAAUCUUUGCUUGUACUGCACCCUCAAAUAUUUGCUCAAUCUAAACCCUCCAAUAGGCGUCUUGCUAAAACCUUAACAUUGGCUCUAAAAUCAAAGUGCUUCCACCUACAACUUUGAAAUUUCAUAUGUAGAUGCACCUUGAUGAGUUCUACACGCCACACCCAUUUUUGGGUCACCAGGUCAAAGGUCAAGGUCACUGUGACCUCUUAUAUUUAACUUUAACAUAAACCUUAACAUUUGCCCUAAAAUCAAAGUGCAUCCACCUACAACUUUGAAAUUUCAUAUGUAGAUGCACCUUGAUGAGUUCUACACGCAACACCCAUUUUUGGGUCACUAGGUCAAAGGUCAAGGUCACUGUGACCUCUAAAAAAAUAAUUUUGACAAGCUUUCAUUUAUUCAAAACUGCACCCGUAGCCGAGCGUGGCACCCGUUAUGCGGUGCUCUUGUUUGUUAUAUAUUCACCCUUCCAUCUAAGUCAACUCGCAACCUACCAGUAGUACUCCAUUAACAUGAAAUGAUGUCUCGUGUUCUACAGCUGAAUAUUAUUUUCCAACUCUUUACAUAUUUUUCAUGGUUAACGUUGCUUUUUAACACCUCAGCAUCCAUUUGUCUGUGAUAAUACUCGUGCAUUAUAUCGUGUAUUGUACUUUGCUUUGUCAUGGAAUAAAAUAUGUACCAUUCUGA